rnacentral:rRNA from 1 species
UACAGAGGUCUCAAGCGUUGUUCGGAUUCAUUGGGCGUAAAGGGUGCGUAGGUGGUGAUGCAAGUCUGGUGUGAAAUCUCGGAGCUCAACUCCGAAAUUGCACCGGAUACUGCGUGACUCGAGGACUGUAGAGGAGAUCGGAAUUCACGGUGUAGCAGUGAAAUGCGUAGAUAUUGGGAAGAACACCGGUGGCGAAGGCGGCGACCUGGUCCGAUACUGACGCUGAGGCGCGAAAGCGUGGGGAGCAAACAGG